ACCAAAAUGUCUGCCUCCCUUGUCACUCAGUCUACUUAACGUCAACAGCAAUAAUUUAGGGAUCAUAUUUAAUUUUCUAACGAUUUCACAUUACAGCAGUUACACAGAUUAUUCUAGAUUUUAACCAUGCGACUAAAACAUCUGAAUACCCUUUUAACGGCCGCAAACAUGACCGUUACUAGCUAACAUUAGCCACCAGGUCUAGCUAAAGUUAACGUUAGCAAACGUUACUGUACGUAACGUUAAUGCUUUGAUGACUAACGUUAGCUUGCUGCUAGUUAGCUCUGUCUAGUAUCUAGCUAGACUUAGUAUGUGUCCUUAACUAGCUAGCUAACUAGCUUUUUUUUAGUAGCUAACUUAUGUCAAUUUUAUUCAACGGAUGACCCAGGGACAGUGUCUGUGUGUAACGACGUUAGGCUUUUUGGUGUGGCUCCAGAGACCGUAUUGAAGAACACUGUCAAAUCAAAGUUUAUUUGUCGCGUACACAGAUUGGAAGAUGUUAAAGCAGGUGUAUCGAAAUGCUUAACAGUAUGUUUCUAGCUUCAGCAGUGCGUUAUGUGCCGGGUUCACUGAGGGUACAGCUAGCGUCGUGUGAAGUAUACUGACAUGUUAUCCAAUUUGUGGUCCAUUUACCACAGGAGGGAGCUACCAAAGUGACUUGUAUGAUAUGGGCACCGAAUUAUAUAAAAUGUGCUGUAUGCACUGUGGACAGAGGUGUAAAGGGAUAAGUUCUCUACUAAGCCUGCUGACUCUAAGGUGAGUUAUCACCACCAUUGUCGUUUGACUAUCACAUGUUAUACUCACAUCAAUUACAUACACACCACUUUGUCAGGUCAGUUUGAUACCGGAAGCUUUUCCCUGAAAUGCUCAACUGAAGCUGUGUCUGAUCGAGUGAUAAUGUUGUGAUAUUUAUUUUAUUUAACUAGGCAAAUCAAUUAACAACAAAUUCUUAUUUACAAUGACUGCCUACACUGGCCAAACCCGGAGGUUGCUGGGCCAAUUGUGCGCUGCCCUAUGAGACUCCCAAUCACGGCCGGUUGUGAUACAGCCUGGAUUAAAACCAGGGUUUCUGUAGUGACGCCUCAAGCACUGAGAUGCAGUGCCUUAGACCGCUGCGCCACUCGGGAGCCCAACCUUCUUGCAGUAUGGAACGAAGAGCUAUGUUGUCUCAAGACAAAGAUGAUUGUGGACUACAGGAAAAGGAGGACCGAGCAUGCCCCCAUUCUCAUCGACAGGGCUGCAGUGGAGCAGGUUGAGAGCUUCAAGUUCCAUCACCAACAAACUAACAUGGUCCAAACACACCAAGAUAGUCGUGAAGAGGGCACGACAAAGCCUAUUCCCCCUCAGGAGACUGAAAAUAUUUGGCAUUGGUCCUCAGAUCCUCAAAAGGUUCUACAGCUGCACCAUCGACAGCAUCCUGACUGGUUGCAUCACUGCCUGGUAUGGCAACUGCUCGGCCUUCGACCGUAAAGCACUACAGAGGGUAGGGCGAACGGCCCAGUUCAUCACUGGGGCCAAGCUUCCUGCCGUCCAGGACCUCCAUACCAGGUGGUGUCCGAGGAAGGCCCUAUAAAAUGACCCCAGCCACCCUAGUCAUAGAAUGUUCUCUCUGCUACUGCACGGCAAGUGAUACCGGAGCGCCAAGUCUAGGUCCAAGAGGCUUCUAAACAGCUUUUACCCCCAAGCCAUAAGACUCCUGAACAUCUAAUCAAAUGGCUACCCAGACUAUUUGUAUUGCCCCCCCCCCCCCCCUUACACCACUACUACUCUCUGUUGUCAUCUAUGCAUAGUCACUUUAAUAACUCUACCUACAUGUCGCCAGCAGCAUACCACCUUGCAUACAACUGCUGGCUUGCUUCUGAAGCUAAGCAGGGUUGGUCCUGGUCAGUUCCUGAAUGGGAGACCAGAUGCUGCUGGAAGUGGUGUUGGAGGGCCAGUAGGAGGAGGAGGGUGCCGUCUUUCGGAUGGGACGUUAAACGGGUGUCCUGACUCUCUGAGGUCAUUAAAGAUCCCAUGGCACUUAUCGUAAGAGUAAGGGUGUUAACCCCGGUGUCCUGGCUAAAUUCCCAAUCUGGCCCUCAAACCAUCACGGUCACCUAAUAAUCCCCAGUUUACAAUUGGCUCAUUCAUCCCCCUCCUCUCCCCUGUAACUAUUCCCCAGGUCGUUGCUGCAAACUUACCUGGUAAAAUAAAGGAUCAAUUCAAAAAUAAACAUGUACAUACUACCUCAACUAACCGGUGCCCCCGCACAUUGACUCUGUGUCGGUACCCUCCCUGUAUGUAGUCUCGCUAUUGUUAUUUUACUGCUUCUCUUUAAUUACUUGUUACUUUUAACUCUUAUUCUUAUCCAUAUUUUUUUGAAACUGCAUUGUUGGUUAGGGGCUCGUAAGUAAGCAUUUCACUGUAAGCUCUACACCUGUUGUAUUCGGCACAUGUGACUAAUACAAUUAGAUUUGUCAAGGCCAUGGCAUUUUCUCCCGACUCAACAAAAAUUGCCAUUGCCCAAACUGAUAAAUUAUGUUAUGUCUACAAAAUCUAAGAGGAAUGGUAAGCAUAACUUCAUACUUCUCAUAGUUGUAUUUUGGCUGGGUUUUAAUUCACAGUUGACCGACCUGUAGCCUCUCCUUGUAUCAAUUGUGAUGCAUCCUUCUUAUCCCUCACACAGGGGUGAGAAGGUAAUCUGCAACAAAUUUGUAAAGACUGUAAAUUAUCUUAUUUUAAUCAACAACAUUCAAAUUAAACACAUUUCAUCCUGUUUCAGAGUGCUUUGACAUGUUUGUUAUGGCCCGGCAGAACAUGCAAUCGUUUUUGGUUUAACUGAGGGAAAGGUUCACCUUGCAAACACAAAAACAAACAAGUCAUCUACAGUCUACGGAGAAGAUUCCUACGUUGUCUCGUUGACAACAGUGUGCUCUUGUUCUUUAUUUCAACCUUUUCACUCAAAGUUGUAAUCUGGUGGUGAUCACAAUAAUAGUGAACUCCUCUCUGUAUACUGUCUCUGGUUCACAGUUGAAACCGUAUCAGGUAGAUGUGCAUUGAUGCAUGUUGUGUAUUGAUGUGCAUGUCUCAUCUUUUUGCAGGGUAAAUUGUUGACCCACCCUUGCCAAACCAUAUGCCCUGGCAUGGGGAGCCAACAGCAUCAUAGUGGCUGGAUGUGACAAGAAGAUAGUGGCCUAUGGCAGGGAAGGUCACAUCCAGCAGACUUUUGACUACAGCCGAGGACACGCUGAGAAAGAGUUCACUGUGGCCACUAGCCCCGGUGGACAGUCUGUGGUCAUCGGUAGCUAUUACUGUCUUCAACUGGGGUCCUCUGAAAGGAGCAUGGGACGAAGCAUCCCCCAAAGAGAUUCCAAACCUGUACACCAUCACUGCCUUGGCCUGGAAGAAGGACGGCUCACGCCUCUGUGCAGUUAGUAACCAUACACAGUACACUGUGUGGCGGAGUGGAACAGUUUUUCUGCUGCCUUUGGAGGAGCAUCUACAAGAACAAAUUUGAGAUGACUUAUGAGGGACUGAGUCAGAUGGCAGGGCUCCCAGGGGGAAUGAGAAAUUCUUCUUUGAAAAUGAAAUGGAAUUCUGAAUUGUCUCAGAGUAGGGAGUCAGCUGCUGACUGUGAUGUGUUGUCAGCUGUGUAUGAUUUGCAACACUGGGGCGCUGAUGCUGGUGGAGUACGGCAGCAACAACAUCCUGGGAUCAGUGAGAACUGAGUUCAUGAACCCACAUCUCAUCUGUGUUUGUCUCAAUGAGCGCAAACAGAAUGGAGUUGAAGACAGCAACAAGUUAGCCUACCUGAUUGACAUCAAGACCAUUGCCAUUGCCGCCCGUCAGUGAUUGAUACUAUGCCCUACAGGCACAGCUCAGGUAAUCUUCUCCCUCCCACUCACAGUGGAUUUGGCUGGCGGUUACAACCUGGGAACCAUCAGCCAUGACUCCCAAGACUGACUUGUUGGAGCUCAACUAGAUGGGGCGCAAGCUGCUUUACAGAGCCACAGCGUUCCUGGAGACUCUGGAGAUGUCCUCAGUGGAAAACUCUGAGCAAACUGUCCCUGGAGGCCCACCAGCUCCACAUCGCAGAGAGGUCAGCACAGUUGGGGGCCCCACACACACGCACACUCUCCAUACAUGCCAUUGUGUGUCCCCCAGGGGUACUCAGCAAAACUAGGCUUAUCUUCUAAUGCAGUCUUUUCUAUACCUCUGUUUUAAGUUGUGAAAAGUGACUUGUCUCCUGUGAAGAUGUUUAGCUUAGAGGAGCCCCUCCCCUCAGUGGUUUUCUGAGCUGUGUGUGUGACUGGGGGGCAGAAAUAGUAAAAAGCCAAGCAGCUCAUCCAGAGCUGAGUUUACUCUGUAAUACUCAUGUAGAGAAGUCUUUCUCUUAAUAGGACAUUUUGCUUAAGCAAGCACCACCAGAGCAAGUUUUUGUCAUUUUUCCCCUUUUUUUAUGGGCAUUUUCCUUCUAUUUUUGGGGGGUGAAAGUUAGAUUUCACUGUAGCAUGGCAUCAAUAAUGCGGCGAGAUUUCGUUAUGUAUGGAGUUUGAUUUGCAUAAUUGCAGGAAAAAGUUUUGUCCGGAGAGGAGAAUGUAAAUGGAGUGUGGUUUGCUAAUAAGAUGGCGAGCGCAGCUUUUUAGCGUGAUGCAACUUCUCUGAAAGAGCUGGUAAUACAGCCGGCCCAGGUUAAAGCCAUUGAAACGUUCUUGUGUUUAGCCAUGCUCCAGGGUUAAGGCUGUUGUUUUAGAGGUUUAAACGUUUAUCUGUAAACAUUUGAUUUAGCUGCACCCUCAUUGUCCCUUAAGCCAUUUUUGUGUUUCUUUUAGGUGCUUUGCUGCCUUGGGGGAUGUCUCAAGUUCGCUUUCUGAACGAGACUAAAAAUAUUGUUGUAGUGUAUGUUGGUCUCUCCCCUUAGUAGUGUUGGAGGCUCUAGUUUGGGUCCACUUGAAUGCUCUGUUGGAGGAAACCCAAUCCAGGUGUUCCAUCUGGGGGCUACAAGGCUGAGCCCUGGGUGUCAGUUGGGGCCCCUGUGUGGGUCUCUCUGGCCCCUGGAGUGUGGGCAGCAGCCACACUGGCACCCCCCCUCCCAGCCUGGCACCCCUGUCUGCUAGGCUGCUCCCUGGCUGGCCAGGCCAUUCAUUCAAUCCAUUACGUCACUCAACUCCGCUGAGUUACUAAACCCCAGUAAUGCUUAUCACACACACACCUGUUAGCCAUUGUUGCAGUGGUCUGCUUGCUAAUGCAUAAGUCUGUACCAGUCUGCUAGAAAGGACAUUCCAUUUAGUUGAUAUUUAGUUGAUAUUACCUGUAUGUGACACUUGUCUAAUCUCCAGGGUGGUGAUGGUACAGAGUUCUACCAAGUCAAAGCACGCCUUGCCAUGCUGGACAAGAACUACAAGCUGGCAGAGUUGUACUAUAUGGAGCCGGUAAGAGAACAUGAAUCUGGAGAGUUUGGUCUGAGACUUUCAGAGACUCCCAGCCUCAUGUAUAAUUAAGUGUGGUGUGCUCUGUACAAUGCCAUUGAUGAGGUGCUGGAGAUGUAUCAGGAGCUUCACAUGUGGGACGACUGCAUCGCUGAAGCCAAGGUAAACCAGUACUAAGAGACUGUGGAGUAGCCAGUACUCAGGACUUAGUCUGUCUUCCCAGAGCUGAACAACCUGCGUCACAGCUACUACCAGUGGCUGAUGGAGACCAACCAGCAUGAGAAGGUUGGCGAGGUCAAAGAGGGGGAGGAGGACUUCAUGGGCGUCGUCAACCUCUACCUCAAGGUGGGCUUACCAGUCAAGGCCGCCCGAUUUGGCCGUGAGGAGCUGGUCUCCAACAGUGACAUCCUCAGUAGAAUCGCUGCUGCCCUCAUCAAGGGAGAGUUCUAUGAGGGGGUGGGUGUCAUGAUGGUUCUGCUCACACUGCCCUACCCUGUGCUCUGACCUCUUUCUCCCCUCUCUCUCCAGAUGAAAUCUCGCGUCUUGUGACGGCCGGCCGCCCAACAACCUGCCCGCUUGACCCUAUUCCCUCCUCUCUUCUCCAGACCAUUUCCGGAGACCUUCUCCCUUACCUCACCUCGCUCAUCAACUCAUCCCUGACCGCUGGCUACGUCCCUUCUGUCUUCAAGAGAGCGAGAGUUGCACCCCUUCUGAAAAAACCUACACUCGAUCCCUCCGAUGUCAACAACUACAGACCAGUAUCCCUUCUUUCUUUUCUCUCCAAAACUCUUGAACGUGCCGUCCUUGGCCAGCUCUCCCGCUAUCUCUCUCAGAAUGACCUUCUUGAUCCAAAUCAGUCAGGUUUCAAGACUAGUCAUUCAACUGAGACUGCUCUUCUCUGUAUCACGGAAGCCCUCCGCACUGCUAAAGCUAACUCUCUCUCCUCUGCUCUCAUCCUUCUAGACCUAUCGGCUGCCUUCGAUACUGUGAACCAUCAGAUCCUCCUCUCCACCCUCUCCGAGUUGGGCAUCUCCGGCGCGGCCCACGCUUGGAUUGCGUCCUACCUGACAGGUCGCUCCUACCAGGUGGCGUGGCGAGAAUCUGUCUCCUCACCACGCGCUCUCACCACUGGCGUCCCCCAGGGCUCUGUUCUAGGCCCUCUCCUAUUCUCGCUAUACACCAAGUCACUUGGCUCUGUCAUAACCUCACAUGGUCUCUCCUAUCAUUGCUAUGCAGACGACACACAAUUAAUCUUCUCCUUUCCCCCUUCUGAUGACCAGGUGGCGAAUCGCAUCUCUGCAUGUCUGGCAGACAUAUCAGUGUGGAUGACGGAUCACCACCUCAAGCUGAACCUCGGCAAGACGGAGCUGCUCUUCCUCCCGGGGAAGGACUGCCCGUUCCAUGAUCUCGCCAUCACGGUUGACAACUCCAUUGUGUCCUCCUCCCAGAGCGCUAAGAACCUUGGCGUGAUCCUGGACAACACCCUGUCGUUCUCAACUAACAUCAAGGCGGUGGCCCGUUCUUGUAGGUUCAUGCUCUACAACAUCCGCAGAGUACGACCCUGCCUCACAUAGGAAGCAGCGCAGGUCCUAAUCCAGGCACUUGUCAUCUCCCGUCUGGAUUACUGCAACUCGCUGUUGGCUGGGCUCCCUGCCUGUGCCAUUAAACCCCUACAACUCAUCCAGAAUGCCGCAGCCCGUCUGGUGUUCAACCUUCCCAAGUUCUCUCACGUCACCCCGCUCCUCCGCUCUCUCCACUGGCUUCCAGUUGAAGCUCGC